rnacentral:lncRNA from 1 species
GCCAAGCUCUAUUGCCAACCUGCAUGUCUAUGCCUGUAUGCCCUUCUCUUGGCCAAGGAAGAAAGGAAGAAGAAAAAAGAAACCCAGGGGCCUGAAUCCCCUGAUUAAACACAGCCCAGCCCUCCAGGCAAGCGGACCCAGUGGCGGCUCCUUGCACCAUUGACCUCAGGCCAGACACCUUAGGGCCGACAGUGGGACCUCGGUCUUCUGGCUAGGUUGUCUGAGGUGGGCAGGAAAAUAGCUGGAAGGAUGGAAGGAGGAGGAUAGGGGUUAUUUCAAGCAUUGAGACCCCUAGACAGCAAACCAAGCCCAGUCAGGAUUUGACACUUAGAACAAUAUCUAUUUCAAUAGAAUUUAUCGCGAUAUGGCUUUUUCCCCCUGAAAACAAGUAAACCAGCACCAAGCAAACAAAGAAACAAAAAGUCAGAACAAACCAGCCCUGCACAGAUGUAACGGCCCGGGAGAUGGCGAGUGUGGAAGGGUAGAAUGGGGCUCCGACACAGGUGCGAGUUCUGGGGAAGAGGCUGAAGACAGAGGGAGGGGACGGGCGCUCUGGCAUCGGGAGAAAAAAAAAAAAAAAAAAAACCCAGCAUCGCUUGGAGCUUC